UACGUAGGGUGCGAGCGUUAAUCGGAAUUACUGGGCGUAAAGCGUGCGCAGGCGGUUAUUUAAGCCAGACGUGAAAGCCCCGGGCUUAACCUGGGAAUGGCGUUUGGGACUGGAUAGCUGGAGUACGGCAGAGGGAGGUGGAAUUCCACGUGUAGCAGUGAAAUGCGUAGAGAUGUGGAGGAACACCGAUGGCGAAGGCAGCCUCCUGGGCCAGUACUGACGCUCAUGCACGAAAGCGUGGGGAG
rnacentral:rRNA from 1 species